rnacentral:misc_RNA from 1 species
GCUCCGUUGGUGAACCAGCGGAGGGAUCAUUACAGAGUUGCAAAACUCCCAAACCAUUGUGAACGUUACCUAUCCCGUUGCUUCGGCGGGCGGCCCGGGCCCCGCGCCCGGCGCCCCCCGGCCCCCCGUGGGCGCCCGCCGGAGGUAAACCAAACCCUGGAAUUGCAUGGCCUCUCUGAGUCUUCUGUACUGAAUAAGUCAAAACUUUCAACAACGGAUCUCUUGGUUCUG